ACGGAAGGCAGCAGCUAAGAAUAUUCCGCAAUGGGGGAAACCCUGACGGAGCGACGCCGCGUGGACGAUGAAGGCCGGAAGGUUGUAAAGUCCUUUUAUGGCAGAGGAAUAAGCGGGGGAGUGGAAAGCCCUUGCGAUGACUGUAGGCCAUGAAUAAGCACCGGCUAAUUACGUGCCAGCAGCCGCGGUAACACGUAAGGUGCGAGCGUUGUUCGGAAUCAUUGGGCGUAAAGGGCAUGUAGGCGGUCUGUCAAGCCAGGCGUGAAAGCCAGGGGCUCAACCCCUGAACUGCGCUUGGAACUGGCGGACUGGAGUCGCUGAGGGGGAACCGGAAUUCCUGGUGUAGGGGUGAAAUCUGUAGAUAUCUGGAAGAAUACCAAUGGCGAAGGCAGGUUACCAGCAGAUGACUGACGCUGAGGCUCGAAAGCGUGGGGAGCAAACAGGAUUAGAUACCCUGGUA
rnacentral:rRNA from 1 species